UUGACCUCGAAUCAGGUAGGGAUACCCGCUGAACUUAAGCAUAUCAAUAAGCGGA
rnacentral:rRNA from 5 species